GAAUUCGAUUCUCCUGGAAACGGGUGGUAAUGCCGGAUGCUCCACAUGAUCACAUGUGAUUGUGGGAAAGAUUUAUCGGUAUGGGAUGGGGUCGCGUCCUAUCAGGUAGUUGGUGGGGUAAUGGCCUACCAAGCCUACGACGGGUAGCCGGCCUGAGAGGGCGACCGGCCACAUAGGGACUGAGAUACGGCCCAGACUCCUACGGGAGGCAGCAGUGGGGAAUAUUGCACAAUGGGCGCAAGCCUGAUGCAGCGACGCCGCGUGCGGGAUGACGGCCUUCGGGUUGUAAACCGCUUUUGUUAGGGAGCAAGCGCAAGUGAGUGUACCUUUCGAAUAAGCACCGGCUAACUACGUGCCAGCAGCCGCGGUAAUACGUAGGGUGCAAGCGUUAUCCGGAAUUAUUGGGCGUAAAGAGCUCGUAGGCGGUUUGUCGCGUCUGGUGUGAAAGUCCAUCGCUUAACGGUGGAUCUGCGCCGGGUACGGGCAGGCUAGAGUGUGGUAGGGGAGACUGGAAUUCCCGGUGUAACGGUGGAAUGUGUAGAUAUCGGGAAGAACACCAAUCACUAGUG
rnacentral:rRNA from 1 species